rnacentral:rRNA from 1 species
CCCUUAGAUGUCCUGGGCCGCACGCGCGCUACACUGAUGCAUGCAACGAGUUUAUAACCUUGGCCUGAAAGGUCUGGGUAAUCUUUUGAACGUGCAUCGUGAUAGGGAUAGAUUAUUGCAAUUGUUAAUCUUGAACGAGGAAUUCCUAGUAAACGCGAGUCAUCAGCUCGCAUUGAUUACGUCCCUGCCCUUUGUACACACCGCCCGUCGCACCUACCGAUUGAAUGGUUCGGUGAAGAUCUCGGACUUCGAUAUUUAUUCUUUAUUGAGUUUAUAUUGUGGGAAGUUAGCUAAACCUCAUCAUUUAGAGGAAGGUGAAGUCGUAACA